rnacentral:lncRNA from 1 species
CUGGUCCCUAUGGUGGGCUGCCUGCCCUGAUUGAACUGGAUUAAAUCUGUGCUCUAGUGGGCAGGGCAGACCCCUGGGCUAAUAGGCCAAGGGAAGAACCUCAAUGACGCCCCUCUGGGUCUGUGUCAGCGUGCCUGGACCAGGUGAGAACAAUGGCCCCCACCGUCUCAGUCUCCAGAGAGGUCCCUACUCCCACCAAGAUGGCCCCAGAUUCCACCAGGUGCCACAGGAAAGGCUUUCUCAAGAAACAAUACUAGUUGGAUGGAACACUCACCUGGCAUGGAGUCAUCCCCAUUUUCUGCAUGGCGGUGGAGCGUGGGAACUGCAUCUAUUCAACGUGUCUCUUACACGCUGCCUCAGCAUGCUCUAGGAUCUCUAACUGAAUUUGUCAACAAGAGAGAGUAAAAACUGGAAGAAGACUAUGCUUUUAAAUGCUAAAGACAUUUUCCGCAAUUUUCUCACCAGAACUUUUGAACCUUCCCUAGAAUGUUCUGGAGCUGCAUUCUUAGACCUCCCCAUUGCCUCCACUUUCAUUUCACCCCAAGAGCUGUUAGUUAAUAAAAACGGACCUCUAGAGCAGAUCUUCUCAGACUUUAUAUGCAUAAAAAUACGUAUACAAAUGCCUUGGGGAUCUUGAAAAAAUGUAAUUUCUGAUUCAACAGGUCUAGGGUAGGACCUGAAGUUGUAUAUUUUGAAUAAGCACUGGGUAAUGCAGAUGCUGCUGGCCCAUGGACCACCCUUUGAAUAGCAUAACUCUAGAUCUGCUUUCAAGGAAAUAAAAUGGAAUUAACAUUUGUAAGUCACAACUUGAGUUAAAAAGCUCCAGGUAAUUUAAAGAUAUUGUUUUACCCAAUUUUCUUAAGAACCUACAAAAUGUGUAUUAUGUCCAGUUUACAGAGAAAACCAAAACUUACUUAGAUAUUUUAAUUUACUCCAUAUCACCUAGUUAAAAAUCACAAAACUAGAAUUGGAUCCCAGUUUCUGUGACCCCAAAAGUCUUCACCCUUCUGACAGACCAAACUGCCUCUUAGCACUGAUGUCACUCUGAGUGCGCUGACCUGCCGGGGUUUUCUAGUUCGUCAGAGCAUCCCAGGGAUGACUAAGCCAGCGUUUGAACCCCCUUUGCACCCAAACGUCAAUACUAUGAUAGCACAGUGAUUUUUACAAAGCCAUAAAUACAGAGGAACAAAGAGAAUAGAAUGGGAAAUCUUUGGAAUACAGGAAAGCAGACAGGCAGGUGGUAACUGCGCUGACAACCAGACAGCCGGGUCUAGGAGGCUGUGGGAGGAGCCGGAAGUCAGCUGACGGCACCGUGGGUGAUUCCUGAGUCUCUGAAAAGGCCGUCUUGAGAGUUUACACCCUUCGCCAGAAGGACGAAGUGCUAGAAUUUUUAGAGUGGCUCAGGGCCUCAACAAGCAGGGAAGAGGUUAAGCUGUAAAU